AGCUGCAUUCAAGGCACAGGGUGUUCUAUACAGGUCCAACCGGCUUCUGCGCCGGGCCUUCGCAUAGCUACAGAACUCGAGGGACAAUCUCAAUGUCCUCCACAUUCCGGUGCCUCUUGGGCGUCCCUCCUGGCCACUGCCGGAUGCCAUCGAAGGAAACUGCGCAUCCCACAAUUCACCGAGACUCUGCAGUCUGUGAGAAUUACACUAAUUCAUGUUGAAGCAAUGCUCCAGUGAUGUGAUCACCUUCCAUUAGGCUCCGCCACGAAAACCACCACGCUGAAAACCAAGGAUGUUCCUGAGAGUCUGAGGAAAUGGGUGGAUGGUCAAACAGGGGACGGCUGGACUGGCUGAAGUCACACGAUGUCUUUGCUGCAGGUCAUUUUGAGCCUAUGGCGAGAACUCCAGCCUGCGGCAUGUUUCUACCCCCAUUCAAGGUGGGUCUUCCAUCAUUAACCCUUUCUGGGAAUGCCCUUGAAGACUCUCCAGGGGUGCUUCAUAUCAAUCUCUAGGCACUUCUCAAUCAAGCCAAGUUGACAAUCAAGCCAGCCCAUCUCACUGGUCAGUCAGGGCUCUGUGCUCCCAGAGAGCGGCUGCUAAAUCAGUAGCCUGAUGUGGAGCCACUGGAACCAGACGACAGACCUGUCUCAUCACCUCCUCACUAUGAUCUGAAUUACUAAAAACAGGCCUUUGCUGCUUUGAGACAGGAUCUGGGGGCUUCAUCGCCAAAUGAAGAGAUCACGGUCUCCAAGUCAUUUACUCCCACAGUGACUGCUGUAGCCCAAAUGCCCCCAUGAGUUGUCCUGGCAGCUGUGCAGGAUGUUGAAAGGAAAGCAGGCCCCGGGGGAAAUUAUGUCACACCAAGUCAUCUUGACCACUGCCGUGAAGAAGCAGGAGGCUAAAAAGGUGGUGAGUUCUCUGACAAAACGCCUAAGCACUCCCACAUUGGAUAGGCCAUCUACCGUAAAGAGACCUCGCCUGUGUUGUCAUCAAAGGACCCGCUACACCAGGCUUCUGUGGCAAAGGCCUUCCUCUGUAAGUGGCUCAAAGUACCCUCUGUGAUCAACCGGUUCACUCAGGCCUGGACCAGCAAGUACUCAGCUGCCUAAGCUCACCCACAAGUGCAGGCCAAAGCCAAGGUAGGAGAACAAAAUUACCAGUGCCGAGAGGAAAGCUACUGGCAAAGGGGACAUCUCCACCAUCGGAAGACCUGUCCUUCCAGCAGGGAUCAGUGUGGCCACUACUUUGCUGGAGAACAAGAAGGCUCAUCUGGUAGUGAUCGCAUGUGAUGAAGACACCAUCAAGCUGGUGGUUCUCCCACCUGCCCUGUGUUAUAAGAUGGGGUCCCCCUACCGUAUCAUCAAGAGAAAGGCAGGGCUGGAUGCCUCCCCACGGAAAGAUAUGCAUGACUAUAGCCUUCAUGCACAAUAACCUGGAAGACAAAGGCUUAAGCUGGUGGACGCUAUCAGGACUGAUUCCAGGGACAGAUAUGAAGAGAUCCCCUGCUACCAGGGAGGAAAUGUCCUAGUUCAAAAAUCUGUGGCUCAGGUUGCCAAGCUGGAAAAGGCACAGGUCAAAGACCUUACCACUAAACUGAGUUAAAUGCACACUGCUAAGCCUCCUGUACAUAAAUACAAUUUAAAAAUUGCCCU
rnacentral:lncRNA from 1 species